rnacentral:lncRNA from 1 species
GAGUGGGAAAACUCUGUAGCUGCAUGAAAUUUGAUAAGAUUAUCAGCUUAAUACAAAGACCCCUAAAGGAUGUCCAGGAGAAGUUGAUGAUGAUCCGGAGAUGCUUCAUCUGGCCAAGUUGACAAUCUGAUAAUAAUGGGGCGGAUAAGCUUCGGAGGUUUUGCCGGCACAAGGAGAUCGACACCUGGAAACAGGACACGACACGACGGGACUUCCCAAAUGGAUUGUUUUUUCCUUUUACAGUUAUUGUCUUGGUGACCCUUUGCUCCACAACCUGUUUAACGGCCAAUCGAUCCGGUCCGGGUCCGAAAUGUUUUGACAUGUCUGGGUUUCGGGACGGGACGGGACGG